rnacentral:pre_miRNA from 1 species
UUUGUACUUCCUCCGUCCCAAAAUUCUUGUCUUAAAUUUGUCUAAAUAUGGAUGUAUCUAGUUACAUUUUAGUGUUAGAUACAUUCGUAUCUAAACAAAUGUAAGACAAGAAUUUUGGCACGGAGGGAAUACUAC